UCGGAGGUGAUGAGUGUUCUGUGUCAUGUGGAGUUAAUUACUCUGUAUGUAGGGCGACUUAUUGUGCAUGGGAAACUUGCAAUUAUCUUGUUUAGAAACUUUAUUACAGUCAGUCAGUAGGUUAUAUAAGUCGAAGUAAAUUGAAUUCAAUUGCUGGUAGUGUUUCCACUUAGUGUUCUACACACCUGUAUUCUUCUGCUCCUAUUUUAUAGGUCGUCUCCCCCCACCUUGGUAAAAACCAUUUGUUAACUUACCUCUUUCUAGCGAGGAGUCUUUCUCGUCUCGGCCUGGGUAUCCUCCUCUUGCGAGGUCACUCCGAUGGGGGAAACAUAAUGCAC